ensembl:lncRNA
CAGAUAAUGUUUAUUUUAUUUAAGCUAACACCAUUUUCUUUAUGGUUUUGAUUGUAGUUUUAGUUGACUCUAAUGUGUGCCCCACACAGAGUGCAUAUGGUCCAACAGUAAUUCCUCAAAAUCCAGCAGUGAUGGUUCAGCCGAGAAGAAUUCCCAGUGUGGAUUCAUCAGCUCAGAGGAGGCCUGCGAGGCGGGAGGAGGAGGCGCAGUCACGUCUCUGCUGCCUCUCAGGAUCACCUGCAGCCCGUCCCAGCAGCCCCGCACCCCGACACUGAAAGAGUGUGAGCUCAUCAUCCAGCAGCUCUAUCACGCCAACACUGCACAGAAUCAGGAGCUGCUGCGGAUCAAGACGGUCCUCAGAGAAAUCACUUCCAGAAACAGAUCAGCUGCUGAAGUUUUCUCUCGCGCAAGAGCCUCGCUCUGUGACAACAGCAGGGGUGAAGUUUUCGAGCAUUUUCCGAAACUACCUCUCAAACCACUCCCAAAGAAACAGAUCCUGGAUCACUCUGGUAAAGGAGAACCCGUGCUCCUCCCGGCCAUCAAGCACAGUCUCGGCAGCAGCAUGUCCGAGCGGCAGAGGAGAGCGCAGGACGAGCACAGACUGCGUUUCAGGAGAGCGGUGAACUCUUAACCCUCCUCUGCGGUGCUUCUGUCAUUGUGCCUUCCUGUUUGCUGAUUAGAAGAGACGUGAGGAGUUUAGUGAACGGCUGUUGAUCACGUUUGAUUCCCUAAUGAACUAAAUAAGAAUCUUUCCAGAGAAGCAGCCAAAUGUCAAAGACGAGACGAGAGCUAAGCUGCCCGUCCUCCAACAGGAAGAUCCGUAAACUCUGAGACAGACACAAUAUAUACAACCAAAUCUCUUAGAAAACCUUGAUUUGAUGUGAAUUUCCCUGAAGGUUCCAAAAGGCUGAUUUGAGCUUGACAAUGCAGUCUAAAUUCUGCUUUAACUCUCUUUAAAUAAAUGCACCAGCAACAUUUUAUAACA